CCUACGGGAGGCAGCAGUGGGGAAUAUUGCGCAAUGGGCGAAAGCCUGACGCAGCGACGCCGCGUGAGGGAUGAAUGUCUUCGGAUCGUAAACCUCUGUCAGCAGGGAAGAACGGUCACUGUGCUAAUCAGCAGUGAAUUGACGGUACCUGCAAAGGAAGCACCGGCUAACUCCGUGCCAGCAGCCGCGGUAAUACGGAGGGUGCGAGCGUUAAUCGGAAUUUCUGGGCGUAAAGCGCUCGUAGGCGGUAUGUCAAGUCAAGGGUGAAAUCCCCGGGCUCAACGUGGGAACUGUCUUUGAAACUGGGGAACUGGAGUGUGUGAGAGGAGAGUGGAAUUCCAGGUGUAGGGGUGAAAUGCGGAGAUAUCUGGAAGAACAUCAGUGGCGAAGGCGACUAUCUGGCACAUAACUGACGCUGAGGAACGAAAGCGUGGGUAGCAAACAGGAUUAGAUACCCUGGUAGUC
rnacentral:rRNA from 1 species